rnacentral:rRNA from 3 species
GGGAAACCCAGUGUGAUUCGUCACACUAUCAUUAACUGAAUCCAUAGGUUAAUGAGGCGAACCGGGGGAACUGAAACAUCUAAGUACCCCGAGGAAAAGAAAUCAACCGAGAUUCCCCCAGUAGCGGCGAGCGAACGGGGAGGAGCCCAGAGCCUGAAUCAGCAUGUGUGUUAGUGGAAGCGUCUGGAAAGGCGCGCGAUACAGGGUGACAGCCCCGUACACAAAAGCGCAUGUGCUGUGAGCUCGAUGAGUAGGGCGGGACACGUGGUAUCCUGUCUGAAUAUGGGGGGACCAUCCUCCAAGGCUAAAUACUCCUGACUGACCGAUAGUGAACCAGUACCGUGAGGGAAAGGCGAAAAGAACCCCGGCGAGGGGAGUGAAAAAGAACCUGAAACCGU